rnacentral:rRNA from 1 species
GCAAACUAUGUGCCAGCAGCCGCGGUAAUACAUAGGGGGCGAGCGUUAUCCGGAAUUAUUGGGCGUAAAGGGUGCGUAGGCGGUUUAAUAAGUCUAUAGUUUAAUUUCAGUGCUUAACACUGUCCUGCUAUAGAAACUAUUAGACUAGAGUGAGAUAGAGGCAAGUGGAAUUCCAUGUGUAGCGGUAAAAUGCGUAAAUAUAUGGAGGAACACCAGAGGCGUAGGCGGCUUGCUGGGUCUUUACUGACGCUGAGGCACGAAAGCGUGGGGAGCAAACAGGAUUAGAUACCCUGGUAGUCCACGCCGUAAACGAUGAGUACUAAGUGGUCGGGAUUACUCGGUACUGAAGUUAACACAUUUAAGUACUCCCCGCCUGAGGUAGUACGUACCGCAAGUUAAUGAAACUUAAAGGGAAUUUGACGGGAACUCCG